rnacentral:lncRNA from 1 species
AAAGUGCUCAACAAGUUCGCCGGUUAUAUUUACAAAGGACAAAGAGAGGUGUUUAAGGGACUUGAUGCAGGAAAUACCAAAAGGGCUUCUAAAUGGCUUAUCUGGAAAGAUAUAACUGGGAGAAGAAAAACGAGACCGUCUGCCUGCUUCCAAAUCUAUCUCAAGGCCUUGAACUCUCCUCCACAUUGCAAAUUCAAUCCAAUUGUCGAUUUCAGAACUACUAGGACUGCAAUUGAGUGAGGAAGAACGAAUUUUGAAUUCAUCUAAGGAUGGACCAUGGUGCAAUUGCAAGACUUGAUUCACCCAAUUGUAACUAGAUGUUGUUUUCACUCGUUGCCUUCUUUUCUUCUGUGGUUUGGAUAAUGCAUCUAUAUCAUCGAAGUUGAGACAUGUAAUCUGUUUCCACACAUAGAUCCACCUCUUAGAGAGGACACAAGUUCUUGCUGCAUCCCUAAUACCCAAUAGGGAAAGAAUGCUGAUUAGAAUGACAUCCGGUAGCUGACUGAUCUGAUCCUCCUCCGAAUAAUUCUCUUCCUUAUCAACCAAAUUGAUUGGAAUCUUUUGUCGUUUCCCAUAUGUCCAUCCAGAAUGCUUAGCCUUUCUUUUCGGCAUGGAAGUUGGAACACCCUUGUUAUUAAUUUACUUUCUUCUUAAAUAUUACAAUGUAAUGAAAUAAGCUGCAGAAGUGGAGCAAACCGAUUAUUACUAAAACCAACUAUCAAACAGAUGAAAAGAAGCGAUCAUCUAUAAUAAACGAAGAAGGCGAAAAAGUUGGGUUCGUGAAUACAAGUAAUCUAAGCAACCUUAAAAACAAAGAAAAGAAGACAAGACUGCAGAUGAAAAGCUGGUGCUGGUGUUUUUCAUUCACAACAACGUUUAUAAAAUCACACUUGUAUUUGAUUCUGCGUAAAUAAAAAAGCAGGGAGGGAGCCAAUAGCUGAUUUAAAAGCCCCUGCUUUUCAUUCAAAAUUUUGCAAUCUAGAAUUACUAAAGCAGCUACCCUAUUAUUUAUAGGCAGCAAACCGACUAAAAUCCACCAAAUCCAAAUCCAAGUCCAACUGGGAAACUACAUUUCUAUUUCCCUCUUUUUGAAGGAGAAGCGGAACCUUUUCUACUUAUUUGGUACAACUACAACAUCUAAAGAAAAUUUUGGAUGUAAGCCAUGAAACAUAAUUGCGCCUUUGAAAGAGUAAAUCUGACACUGAUAGGUAUUUUGAUUUCAAAUACAAAAAAGCUGGCGAAUUUGAUUGAAAAUCGUCAUGUAACUCAAAAUUCCAAACUUACAACAGGAAAUGAAGUUACGCAAAUCGAAAGGGAAAAACUUACUUAUUUGAGGGGUGGACAGCCGCGGCAUAUCUGCAACGCCAACCUCUAGCCGCGAAGGGAAAUGGGAAAUGGGAAAUGGGGAAAUGGGAAAGACAUCAACGGCUCCGAAGACCAACUUAUGUGGCUGUUUGGAGGGAUAAAAGGGGAAUUUCAAACGUGUUGGGUCUAAAAUUAAAUAGACCCAACUCUUACACACGAGAUCGGUCCGGUCCGUUUAUGAAACACAAAAAGUAGAGGCCCGCCCAAGAAGUAAAAAAAGAAACAAAGGCCUAGUGGGUCAGCCAGAAACACAUGAAUACUAAAAAAAGAAAGUUAAAAAAAGGCGUAUCACAACGAAAGACUACGUCAGCCACACUCAUAACCUAACCUAACCUAAUCAUGAUGUUUGGGUAUAUAGAUACCAGUCAUUCUCAUUUGUCAGCCAAACUCAAUCUAUCUCAAACUCGAAAUCCAAGUAGAGAAACAAACAGAUCUCUCAACUUUCAGCUCCUCGAUCGACCAUGCCGUCGCCCUCUGUGACAAGAUCUCAUGUUCUCUGUAGCCCUCUGUGAAUUACGGAAGGCUCUGGAGACCAUGAGAUCUGAUCACAGGCAUCAGGGAAGAAGACUGGUUAUGAGGUCCAGUCACCCCAGAAGAAGACUUGCGAUAAAUCCAAAGAGCAGAAGAACCAUGGCCUGUGAAUGGCUUGAGAAGCCAGCCAGCACCACCUUUGGUGACGGGGGUCAUGAAACGCAGUGUCUUGUCUUGAUAGCUUAGAUUCAAGGGCCAAGGAUGAGUUAGGUGGUGAUGAUCGGCAUCAUCAAGGGGUGCAAUCAUCCAUUCUUUUUUUUCGAUUUUUUCUAGAAUAAUACAUUUUUGUUUUGUCUUUAAUUUUUUGUAUUUUUUUUUUUUUUUGCUGGUAUUUUUGGCAAAUACUUAAAGUAUAUAAUAUUUAUUUAUUUUCAGUGAGCUUGGGCUAGAGCGUUUCCAUUUUUUGUUCCAUUUUGGGCCUUUUGUUUUCUGUUUAAUCUGGGCUGAUUCUGGUCAGAUUGUCUUCAUGGACCUGUAAUGGGUUUUUUCUUUCUUUUUUCCGGACCAAGAGUUUUAUAAAUUUCUGAAAAACAAUAAACGUUUUCUCCCUCCGUUUUAUGUCCCUAUUGUAUCAUUUUGUAUUAAUUUUUAUUAUUCAAAACAUCAACACACAAGAAUAUACAAAAAUCAUUUUGUAAUGUUUUUGUUUUCUCAUAAUUUAUAGGUAUUUUAACAACGACCGUAUCAUUUUCUUAAUGAUCAUAUUAACAUACCAAGUUUAUAACUAACUAAUCCAGUCUGUUAAUGAACGCGCGCGAUAAUAUUAGCUCCGCAGCUUUGAGAAACCCUAACCACACUUUCUUCGGAGAAACCUAACCAGCUCUGGUCUCGCACUUCUUUGGAGAAACCCUGACCACACUUUCUUUGGAGAAACCUAACCUGCUCUGGUCUCACACCUCUUUGGUGAAAAUCUAACCUCCUCUGGUCUCACACUCUCUUUGGAGAAACUGGAGCUUCUUUCUCUAGGUACCUUCCUUUUUGAUCAAUUUUUACAUUUGAUUCUAAACAUUUCAACUUGCCUUCUAGCUAAUGUUUCACGUUGUGAAGUAUUUAUUUUGCUAGUAUAUUUAUUGAUUUUCAGAUUUGGGCUCCUAAACCCUAGUUUCCUUCUUCUUUUGGUUUAAGCUCUAGUUCAAUUUUUUGCUUUUCUGAGUUUUUUUCCUCUCACUAGUCUCACAAAAUGCACGGAUUUAAAUAAACUAUCUCACAAAAUGCACGGAUUUAAAUAAACUAUGUUCUUUUACUUUCUCUGUCAUUACUUUUGAGCAAAGCAUACAUAUUUGGGAGUAUUUUUGGGUGAAUUCGUUGGUAUUUAUUGCUGGCCUCCCUAUGCAAACAGUUGCUAUCACGCUUAAUGUGAUGUUUUAUCCUGAUGUUCUGAUUAUGAGACCAAAGUAAUUAGUGUGCAGUAACGUUUGAUUUUUCUUUGCUAUAUCUAUCCUUAGAUUCGUUGCUGCUGUUUAUUUCAAAUUUCCUUUUGUAGAUUGUUGUCUAGCUAGCUACUAGCUAGUUGAGAGCGAUAUGAAGAGGAGGAAUAUUCUUUAUCCAAUCUUUUUCAUGUCAGUUUCAUCCAGAAUUUCAACCCUGGUUUUCUUUUUCCUUAGUUUUUUGGGAUGUGCAAGGACUUUUAUUUCACGUGGUUAAGUGCUCUGUUUUAACCUUAUUUGGAUAAACAAAAUUACAAGGCAAGUUUAGCACUAAUGGAAUGGAAUUACCUUUUUUUUUAAAUCAAUUUUGCAAAAUACAUGUGUUGCUAGCUUUUGUGUUUCUGGUGUCCCAUCUCUAUCGGUGAAACUUCAUGAUUGUUCACCUGUUUGGGAAUUGAUUUUGCUCCCCACAACCAUAAAAAAUUAAAGUUGGUUUAGUCUCAUUAUAUUAUUUUGCCUUUUGAUCCAGAAAAGUGCUUAAAUAAUGGUAAGUUAGUGAGUUCAACAUCAUCAAUAGUUUGAAAAUUGAGACCUGGGGACACAUGAAAUUCCACCUGAGCAAGUAUGUUGCAAAAUUACCAGUUGCAAAAAACUGCUCAUUUGUUUUCAUGUGGUUUAUUUAGUGAGUCAGUUUAUAUUGCUCAUGUAUUAUGACUUCUCUCAUUUAUAAUUUGCUAUUUGAUUUAGUUUUGUGUUUUUUUUUUUUCAUGUGGUUUUGUACAGGAGAAUGACUACCCAAAUUUCACAUAUCAACUUUGACAAUUCCAAUUUAAAGUCUGAAAGUGUCAUCCAAAAACCCUUGUUAGAUUCAUUCAUGGAAAUAUUAAGGCUUUCGUGGCUGACCGAUGUUGUCCAAGAAGGGCAUGUAUGGAAAUGGGAGUUGGUUCACAAGGAAGGAUGUGUUAAGAGGACAGUUCCACUCUUCAUUCUCAAAGACGUAGUGGAUGAUUCAAGACAUGAAUAUGAAGAACAUUUGUUCUGCAUCUAUUGCAGCUACCCAAGAUGCAACAACAAUCUCGUCUCGAAGUGCAAGUAUCAUUUUGUAAUUUCAGCCGAUUACGAGUCCGGGGAGCAAUUGGACGAUCCUUUUGACAAGGAUGUUUACUUUUUUAAAGAUUGGACACACCUUAUACAUUGGUUGCUCAACAACAACGGGAUCGGCCGCCUCAUAUGUGUCAAUUGGAUUAAUGAGGGUUCUGCUUUCAUAACUGGUCGAGACAUCAUGCAUCUAUGGGGUUUACUUUGCCUUUAUUUUCAGGUUAGGUAAUUAUCGUUUUUAUAUUAGUUGUUUUAUAUUUUUGUUAUAUAUAAAACAUAUGAAUUGAAUUUGAUUUUGUGAUGUAUAGGAAAAUAACUGCAUGUGAUGAAGCAUGUAAAGCAUUUAGGCAUAUCACAUUGAUAGAUGGUCUCUGUGAGCCGUGCGAGGGGGCCAUGGAGACUAGGUUGUUGUUUAGUGUGGCUUUUGGUAGUAUGUGGUUUGGGAGGUUGGGAUACACGUUUCUACGUGGAAGCUAUGGGGUGUCAAGAGGUACCUACACAACCGCUAUUGGGUACCUUAGGUCUCGUUCGUUGAUUGAAGUUGAAGAAAUUGUAGGAAAAUACAAGAAGAUGUGUCUUACACCCCUAGAGUGCAUGAGAGAUUUAUUAUUUUUCGUGCUGCAGAUGAGGUGUGGCACGAGAGGCCGAAAAAGAACGGAUCUAAAUAAAGAUUUGUGGACGGUGUAUGAUGAGGUUUUAAUGAGGAGGAAAAAUCACAUCCAAACUAUCUUGAAUUGCAAAGUUUUUUGGACGUGAAUUUUCCUCAGCAUUAAAACCUCAUCAUACACCGUCCACAAAUCUUUAUUUAGAUUCGUUCUCUUUCGGCCCCUCGCGCCACACCUUAUUUGCAGCACGAAAGAUAAUAAAUCUCUCAUGCACUGUAGGGGAGUAAGGCACAUCUUCUUGUAUUUUUCUACAAUUUCUUCAACCUCGGUCAACGAAAGAGACUCAAGGGACUCAAUGGCGGUUGGGUAGGUAUCUCUUGACACCUCAUAGCUUUCACGUGGAAACGUGUAUCCCUACCUCCCAAACUAGGUACUACCAAAAGCCACAAUAAACAACAACCUAGUCUCCAUGGGCCCCUCGCACGUCUCACGGAGACCGUCUAUCAAUGUAUCCCUACCUCCCAAACUAGGUACUACCAAAAGCCACAAUAAACAACAACCUAGUCUCCAUGGGCCCCUCGCACGUCUCACGGAGACCGUCUAUCAAUGUGAUAUGCCUAAAUGCUUUACAUGCUUCAUCACAGAUAGUUAUUUUCCUAUAAAUCACAAAGUCAGAUUCAAUUAAUAUGUUUUAUAUAUAACAAAAAUAUGAAACAACUAAUAUAAAAAUGAUAAUUAUCUCGCCUGAAAAUAAAGGCAAAGUAAAUCCUAUAGAUGCAUGAUGAAAGCAGAACCCUCAUUAAUCCCAUUGAUACAUAUGAGGUGGCCGAUCCCAUUGUUGUGGAGCAACCCAUGUAAGAGGUGUGUUCAAUCUUUAAAAAAGUAAUUAUCCUUGUCAAAAAGAUUGUCCAAUUGCUUCCCGGACUCGUAAUCGGCUGGAAUUACAAAGUGAUACUUGCACUUCGAGGCGAGAUUGUUGUUGCAUCCUGAGUAGAUGCAGAACAAAUCUUCGGAUUCAUGUCUUGAAUCAUCCACUACUUCUCUUGGGUAGAAAUUUACAGCACCUAGUAUCAGCUGACUUGUUGCAUCUUGUUCCUUGAUCAAAACACAUUUGUAUGUGCUAUGCAGCAUCCCAUUCCAUAUUUUUGUUGCAAGUUACUAAAUUGUCACAUACCCUCUUUGUUGCCUUCCAGAUGCGCGUGGCAUGCAUAAGCACUUGUAAAUUGUUUCCUUGCAGCAUAAAUAUGCUAGGCUGCUCAUUUGUCUUAUCAUGAUUUAAUUAAUGUCAGAAACGGCAUAGUGGAGUCGCUGAGUGUGCAGGGAUUCUUGUUUGGAGACUCUCAUUGCAUAAUUGAUUAAACUUACUCAGUUCUGUACUUUUAAUUAGAAGACUGGUCCAUACUUACUGUACCUUGAGUAUGUUGGAUUAGUGAUCUAGGAUGCAUCUUGUAGUUGUCUAGUUUGUUUUUACGUUACCUUGUCAUAUGAGGCAUCAAUGGAUCAUUUGUUGCAAGCUACAUUUAUAAUUGUACUAGCACUACCCCCUUAGUCACAAGUUGUUAAACCUUCGUAAUUUGUCUCUUGAUCUAGUCAAUGCAGAGUAUGCAGCCAUUAGUUGGUUGACGAUCGAAAGCAUAUGGUGCAGCCAAUGAAUUCUGGAAUGAUCAUCUCUGUAGAGAGUGAAUGUUUUGUUUUGUUUUUUCUUUUCAUUUUGUUAAUGGAAAUUUCUGUAGAGCCAGAGCGUCGGCAUUGUGUGUGUACCUUCACUUCUUAAUAUUACUAUAUUCAACUUGUUAAAGUACUAUUGACACAGGAGGCCAAGAAAAAGAUCUCAGAAUCUAGGAACAUAAUUCAAUAAAAAAACAAAAAUGGUAUACAAUACAAGCAAGCACCAAGGGCUUUGAAUUAUUCUUCUGCAUAGAUGAUUCAGGUCCUGGUCUAGUUUCGUUUGGCUUCUGCUUGUCUUUCCUAUAGCACAACAGUUAGGCUGAUGUGGUAAAUUGCGGAGAUUGAGAGAGAAGGCUGCAAGCUAAAUAUUGCCUGAACUUGCCUUCCUCCGUUGCUAGCCUAGAAAAGGAAAUAAAAGGGAAAUUCAAGUAACAGUCUCCACCAUACACUACAAGAAGACAACGGAAGCACAAACAAGGUGCACUGGUUUGGAUAAGUGAUGAAUAUGCAGUUUCCGCCUCGGGGGAUUUAGGGGUCUGAUCAAGCUGUCAGCUUGCUUUGCGAGAUCAUAUUUCGAUAUCUGUGCCACUUCUCGUAUAUCUGGAAACCAGGAAGAACAGGUCUAAAUUGAGGAGCACUAGUGCAUUCCAAACAGCAGCAUCCUCUUAAAUCUUAACCUCAUUAUCAUUACAAGGCAUAAUUAGGAAAAAGUAAUGCGGCUAUACUCCUUUUUAUAAAAAAUAUAUAUAAAACAAGGCUUCACUCAUUUGACACGAUAUUCGCAUAGUCGGAAUAUUUGGGGAUGGGUGGAAUACGCAAAACAACACUUGCCCGAGCCAUUUUUAACCAAUUUUAUCACAGCUUUGAAGGUAAAAGCUUACUUUUAAAUGUGAGGGAAAGUGCAAAGUAACCAAAUGGAGUGAAGCGUAUGCAAGAACAAAUUCUUUGACAUCUUGAAACGAACCAAGAUAGGGAGAGUUGAUAUCAAUGUUUUAAAAACAAGACUUAGAUGUCGAAGGGUGUUAGAGUUUGUAUAGGAAAACACACUUCCAUUUAGUCCCACAUUGGAAGGGAGUUGUUUCCUUCUAUGGUUUAUAAGCACCAACACUUUAGAAAUAUUAAAUAGAGUAUUGGGUCUAGUGGAGGCAAAGUUGGGCCUCAUCAUGGUUUGGGCUUGAAUUAUAUAUAUAUAUAUAUUUUGUAUAAUAAAUAUAUAGUGAGUUUAAAAAAAUUAGUAUAGCCGUGCGGCUAUACUUCUUUUUUUUUUUCAUUUAAAAAUAGGAUGGCUUUACCUCUUUCACACGUGGGCCUAGGCCUCUUUGCCACGUGGGCUUAGGCCAUGGGCCGGCCUUUAUAUAUAUAAAUAUGUGUAUAUAAUAGAAUAGCCGCCUGGCUAUACUAUUUUUUUUUGAAUUUUUGAAAACAGUAUAGCCGUGCGGCUAUACUCGUUUUUUGCAUUUAAAAGUAGUAUGGCUUUACCUCUUUCACACGUGGGCUGAGGCUUCUUUGCCACGUGGGCUUAGGCCAUGGUCAGGCCUUUAUAUAUAAAUAUAUAUAUUAGUAUAGCCGCCCGGCUAUACUAUUUUUUUGAAUUUAAAAUAAAAUAGCAUAGCCGUUCGGCUAUACCCUUUUUUUCCAUUUAAAAAAUAGUAUGGCUUUACCUCUUUCCCACGUGGGCGGAGGCCUCUUUGCCACGUUGGCUAAGGCCAUGGGCCGGCCUUUAUAUAUAAAUAUAUAUAAUAGUAUAGCCGCCCGGCUAUACUCCUUUUUUCCAUUUAAAAAAUAGUAUGGUUUACCUCUUUGCCACGUGGGCUUAGGCCUCUUUGCCACGUGGGCUUAGGCCAUGGGCCAGCCUUUAUAUAUAUAUAUAUAUAUGAAUAUGUGUAUAGCCGGCCGGCUAUACCAUUUUUUUGAAUUUUUAAAAAAGUAUAGCCGUGCGGCUAUACUCGUUUUUUUGCAUUUAAAAAACAGUAUGGCUUUACCUCUUUCCCACGUGGGCUUAGGCCUCUUUGCCACGUGGGCUUAGGCCAUGGGCCGGCCUAUAUAUAUAUAUAUAUAUAUGAAUAUGUGUAUAGCCGGCCGGCUAUACCAUUUUUUUGAAUUUUUAAAAAAGUAUAGCCGUGCGGCUAGACUCCUUUUUUUGCAUUUAAAAAACAGUAUGGCUUUACCUCUUUCCCACGUGGGCUUAGGCCUCUUUGCCACGUGGGCUUAGGCCAUGGGCCGGCCUAUAUAUAUAUAUAUAUGAAUAUGUGUAUAGCCGGCCGGCUAUACCAUUUUUUUGAAUUUUUAAAAAAGUAUAGCCGUGCGGCUAUACUCCUUUUUUUGCAUUUAAAAAACAGUAUGGCUUUACCUCUUUCCCACGUGGGCUUAGGCCUCUUUGCCACGUGGGCUUAGGCCAUGGGCCGGCCUUUAUAUUUAAAUAUAUAUAAUUGUAUAGCCGCCCGGCUAUACUAUUUUUUUUUUGAAUUUUAAAAAACAGUAUAGCCGGUCGGCUAUACUCCUUUUUUGCAUUUAAAAAACAGUAUGCUUUACCUCUUUCCCACGUGGGCUUAGGCCUCGGGCCGAAAUUUAUAUAUAAAUAUAUAUAUAUAUAUAAUAGUAUAGCCGCCCGGCUAUACGAUUUUUUGAAUUUAAAAAAAAUUAGUAUGGCUACGUUUGACAACUAUUAUUGUAGCUAAGGAGACUUGCGUUUUGCUACAUUUAUAGUCAAUCACGUUCACCUCUCUCUCUCUCUCUCUCUCUCAGACCAAAUUUGACUCGCUUGCCAAAUCUUAUUGUAGUUAUUUAUUUUUCAUUUUGUCAUUAGCAUUAUUAUUAUUUUUGCGUACAGAAUAUAUUAUUGUAUUCUGGAAAAUACGUACGUAAGUGUCGAGGUUUCAAAAUACAUACGGAAAAAGGGAAACAAGACCGUGCAAAUCACAUGUCCUUUUUAAUUUUGUCUCCAACUCAUUCAAGAAUCUACAUAUUGGAAGAAAUCAAUCAAGUACCAAAACUGUCUUCCUUGUUCACCACACAAACAUUAUUUAAUUUUCGGAAAAUAUCAGAAAUAAAUAGUGGCAAAUUACAUGCUGCAAAAAGUGUAUCACGUCUGUAGCAAAGAGGAUUAAACAAGUGAAAUUACAAAACAAUUAACUCAGCUCCUGGAGGUAGUUUUUUACCUAUCUGCAAAGCACGCUUUCUUGCUGCCCUCAGUUGUUUCUGGGUUGUAACAAAUUCAGACAAUAGAGUGGAUUCUUCAACGACAACCUUUCUGAGAUCGACGAUAAACGUUUCAAGCGCAACGGCAUUCUCAGAGAAGUACAUGGCAAGCUCAGUGUCGAUACUAGACCCAACGAACCCAGAAAAUUUCACCACCUUAAGGCACUGAUGAGGACAUUUAUUAACCUUCUGCAAAUUCCUCAGACAUGGCACUCGUGCCCAUCUUAGCUGCACAAAGACACAAACAAUAGCUUAUCAAUCUACCUUAGACACGUUAAUUCCACAUAUACAAGUUUUUCAAAAACCACAGAAAAGCAAUACAACUUUUAGAAGUUUGUGUGCAUAAACAUGAAUCAACAAAAACCUUUCUGAAACCAUUAAAUAAACUUCCCAACUUUAAAUUGUAAGACAUGCUGAAAAUAAAUUUACAUCCAAUGUACAUCUAUGCAAGAAAGGAGACCGCUCUAUCAAUUUAGUCAAAUUAAGGAGGCUUUGCCGAUCACUUGCGACAACAUUCAAUGUUAAGUCCUUGAGACAAGUUAAUUCUGGAAAUUCUGGGUGCCUCACCAUUGCACUCUGACAGAUGAAAAGCAAAUUUUGAAAAUAAAGUCUAUAUAUAUAUACAUAAAAUAAUAAUAAUAAAUACUGAAUUAUUUCAUAUACUGACCAUAUUCAGAUUCAUGUCCAAGUUGAGAUUGAGAGUCACCAGCUGAGGAAGACAACUUUUAACCGGAAGAAAAGUUGGAACUAUAGACCUAGUACUUUCUGCAAGUGAUACAUUUACAAGUUCACCGGUUAUGUUUACAAAUGACAAGGAGAGGUGUUUAAGGGACUUGAUGCAGGAAACGCCGAAAGGGCUUCUAAAUGGCUUAUCUGGAAAGAUAUAACUGGCAGCUGAGGAAUACAACUUUUAACCGAAAGAAAAGGUGCAAUUAUGGACCUAGUACUUUCUGCAAGAGAUACAUUAACAAGCAAGGGUGCAUGCCUCAAACGAAUACUGUCACAGAAACCCAACAUUCCCUUAUAAAUAAAUGAUACGAGAUUAGGAGCCCAAAUCUCAACUAAUCCUAAAGACGUACACUCACUUAUUUGUAGGAAAUUCAACCGGAGUGAUGAACCAGCAACUUUCAAAUUUACUAAUUGAUCUGAGCAAGAAAUGCAGAGAUGCUCAAGGAGUUCACAGUAGGAUAGAAAGUGCUAAACAAGUUCGCCGGUUAUAUUUACAAAGGACAAAGAGAGGUGUUUAAGGGACUUGAUGCAGGAAAUACCAAAAGGGCUUCUAAAUGGCUUAUCUGGAAAGAUAUAACUGGGAGAAGAAAAACGAGACCGUCUGCCUGCUUCCAAAUCUAUCUCAAGGCCUUGAACUCUCCUCCACAUUGCAAAUUCAAUCCAAUUGUCGAUUUCAGAACUACUAGGACUGUAAUCGAGUGAGGAAGAACGAAUUUUGAAUUCAUCUAAGGAUGGACCCUGGUGCAAUUGCAAGACUUGAUUCACCCAAUUGUAACUAGAUGUUGUUUUCACUCGUUGCCUUCUUUUCUUCUGUGGUUUGGAUAAUGCAUCUAUAUCAUCGAAGUUGAGACAAGUAAUCUGUUUCCACACACAGAUCCACCUCUUAGAGAGGACACGAGUUCUUGCUGCUUCCCUGAUACCCAAUAAGGAAAGAAUGCUAAUUAGAAUGACAUCUGGUAGCUGACUGAUCUGAUCCUCCUCCGAAUAAUUAUCUUCCUUAUCACCCAAAUUGAUUGGAAUCUUUUGUCGUUUCCCAUAUGUCCAUCCAGAAUGCUUAGCCUUUCUUUUCGGCAUGGAAGUUAGAACACCCUUGUUAUUAAUUUACUCUCUUCUUAAAUAUUACAAUGUAAUGAAAUAAGCUGCAGAAGUGGAGCGAACCGAUUGUUACUAAAACCAACUAUCAAACACAUGAAAAGAAGCGAACAUCUAUAAUAAACGAAGGCGGCGAAAAAGUUGGGUUCGUGAAUACAAAUAAUCUAAGCUAGUGACUCUAGCAGUGAAACCUUAAAACAAAGAAAAGAAGACAAGGCUGCAGAUUAAAAGCUGGUGCUGGUGUUUUUCAUUCACAACAACGUUUAUGAAAUCACACUUGUAUUUGAUUCCGCGUAAAUAAAAAGCAGGGAGGAAGCCAAUAGCUGAUUAAAAGGCCCUGCUUUUCAUUCAAAACUUUGCAAUCUAGAAUUACCAAAGCAGCUACCCUAUUAUUUAUAGGCAGCAAACCGACUAAAAUCCACCAAAUCCAAAUCCAAAUCCAAACCCAAGUCCAACUGGGAAACUACAUUCCUAUUUCCCUCUUUUUAAAGGAGAAGCGGAACCUUUUCUACGUAUUUGGUACAACUACAACAUCUAUAGACAAUUUUGGAUGUAAGCCAUGGAACAUAAUUGCGCCUUUGAAAGAGUAAAUCUGACACUGAUAGGUAUUUUGAUUUCAAAAGCUGGCGAAUUUGAUUGAAAAUCGUCAUGUAACUCAAAACUCCAAACUUAUAACAGGAAAUGAAGUUACGCAAAUCGAAAGGGAAGAACUUACUUAUUUGAGGGGUGGACAGCCUCGGCAUAUCUGCAACGCCUCUAGCCGCGAAGGGAAAUGGGAAAUGGGGAAAUGGGAAAGUCAUCAACAUGGUUUACCCUGUCCCCCAGAUGGGAUCUCUGUUUUGAGCUGGCUUUCUUUACUGUUAUUUGGUUGGGGUCGAGCCAGUUUACUAAACUCCGACGGAGCCUUAGAUUUGUCUAGACUCUAGCCCUUAGUGUAAUUGGUUUCUGUCUGUGUUCUUGCCGACUCUGCCAGCUGUGUUGUAUUUGUUUCCCUUCUGGGCUGUUUUAAAUACAACCACCUCUUUCAGAACUGAAAAAUAAAAUAAAAACGACCAACUCUCUGGCGGGUUUCACCUUGAUUUUUGUUUGGAGGGGUAAAAUGGGAAUUUCAAACGUAAGUUGGGUCUAAAAUUAAAUGGACCCAACUCGGUCCGGUCCAUUUAGUAAUUCCUACACAAAACUUACAAGUAGAGGCCCGCCCAAGAAGGCUUAAAAAAAACAAAGGCCUAGCCGGUCGGCGAGAAACACAUGAAGGGCUCGUUUGGGAAUGCUUCUUUAUGAAGCGCUUAUGUAAGUAGCGCUUAUGCCAGUAGCACUUAUGACAUAAGGGCUUCUACAAAGAAGAAGUUUGUUGUUUGGAUGUUACAUUUAAAAGUGCUUUCCCAAAAUAUUAUAAUAAAUAUAGGAAAUAAAAAUUAACAGGAUUCCAAAAUAAAAACACAGCUUUUAAAAGUUGUGAAAUGUAAAGAUAGUGAUGGAUUAAUAGAAGCUUAAAGGUUUCCAUGGGUGUUUUGGCGUCUGUUGGCCUUUUCACGGGUAGUGUUUUGGUUUUAAUAGGAGAGAAAAAGUGAGGAAAAAAAAAGAAGAAAGGAAGGGUAUCUUGGCAUUUAAAAAAAAUUAAAUAUAGGUAUUUUCGGCAUUUUAAAAGUUUCAUUAAAGGGAGCCAAGUGCUUCCCUUGUUUUUGUCCUGCAACGCUUUUAAGAAGAAGCACAUCUCAAGUGCUUCUUCUAAAACCACUCCACGUGCUUUUGGAUCUCACCCAAAAAGCUUUUGCAAUUUUUGCCAAACACCAUUUUUAAAAGACAGAAGCGCUUUUACUCAUUUAGAAGCACUUUUCGCUGCUCCAAAAGCACUCCCAAACGAGCUCGAAUACUAAGAAACUAGCUUCUUCGCAUGCGCUUCUACGUCUGAGAGAGGCUUUUAAAAAAAAAAAUAAAAGAAUUAAAAAUAAUAAUAGGUAGUUGUGUUCCAUAAAAAUAUGACAUAUUAUCUAAUUUUGUUUUAAUAUGAAAAAAAAUGAAUUUACCAUAUUAUCCUCAUUUAAUUAAUACUUUCAAUUCUUAAUGUUUGAAUUAACCAAAGACAAUUUCUCUGCUAAUUUUUUUUAAAAAAAAUUUCAAAGGGUGAAAUUGGAGUGUCAAAUCUAGCUAGAACAAAAAGUUUAAUUUCUUAUAAAAAUAAUACACAUGGCAAAUUUUGUGUAAGAACCCAAACCAAAAUAUCUAAAAAUUAAGAUUUCUUUAUUCCAACCAAAAGACGAUUUUGCCCUCGCAUAUUUUAAUGGGGGAAAUUUGACUUUUUGAUCGAGAAAGAAUUUGGGAAUUCCGCUUGCACCGUUGCGUAGAGCACGGCAAAACGAGUCCGUAGACACGGAGUAGACCCGAAUCGGAGUUCUAACGAAGAAAAUACGAUCAAAAUAUCGCGAAGGGCAAAACGGUAAUUUGGAAAAAAGUCAGAUUUUUAUCCCUUUCUCUCUCUCCUCCCCUCAGCUUUCUCUCUCUUCUCUCUCUCUCUCUCUCCCUCGCGCGAGCUGUCGCCAGCUCUCCCCUUCCGAUCAACGCAGCGGCCACCACAGGGCACGCCGAUCUACGGCGUUGGUACCUUCGGCUUCGUCUCGCCGCUGCCGUCACGCCACGACCAGUCUCCGCCCACGGGACGACCGGAGCUUGCCGGAAACUGGGAGAGAACCGCCGGAUUUCACCCGAUUUUCAGUCCCUUCGUUCUCCCUCGUUUCUCAACCAAAUCAAUCGAGUGAGGUAUGGAUUUUCACCUAUUUUUCGUGCUCUAACUGAUGGUUGGCUGGGUUUAGAUCGAUUUCACCUCUAGGUUGCUCAAUUUUCGAUUUGAAAAUCGGCCGAACUUUGGCCGCCGUGAUCGGCCACUUUUUGGGGUAUGUCCAAGAACAAAAAUGACUCCAAAUGGGGUGUUUUACCUAGGAUAGGAGUUUGGGGUCUUGGUUCCGAGAUUUUUCGACGAACCCUAAUCGCUUUGGACACCCGAUCUGCCCGCGCGUGUGGCGGCGCGUGGGCGAGGGUGGUGGCAUGACUCUGGACAGUUUUGAGGUCCUCGUGCCGUCAUGAGCAAGUAGGAUUUCGCGGAUCUCGAUUCGGAGUCCGUUUGAGCCCCAAACGGAUUUUCCAUAUCGCGCGAUCCUUGGGUGCAGUGUCGUUAAAUCGUUGGAUCGCGCUGAAUUUUGGAUAUGUCGGUCUAGGUGAUUUCAGGAUCGCGUAGGAUUCGACGGAUUGCGAAUCGGAGUCCCGGAUACUCCGAAAUCGCGAAUCCUGGGGCUAGGGUUUGGAUUUUAAGCGAUAAUGCGAUUUUGGCUAAUCCGACCGUCCGUUUCGGACCGAAUUCGCGGAACAUGGUUCCCUCUCUAUGAGGAACCUUCAGGGAAGCCCAGAUUGGCCAUCGGAGAUCGUGGACCCCACGGGUCCCGGGUCGGCCGAUCUGUCAGUUUAUCGCUUAGCUGAGCGUCGGACCUUCCAAAACUGGUCCAAGUGUCUGAAAGGGAUAAUGUGGGCAUAAGAGUAACUUGAAAUGAAAUGCACGUAUUUCUAGGAGCCGGGGGCAGGGUGUUUAAUUUAAAUUCUUUUUAUCCAGCAGUUUAUUAAUUUAUUAUUCUUGGAUAAUCAGGCACCAGGAGUCCAGCUAACCCACAUGAGGGACCUUCGAAGGGUCCAGCUAGCUCGGACCAGCAGUGAGUGGACUUUUCUUUCGUAAAAGAUUUUAUAAUUAUACUUUCUAUUUGAUCUUGAAUAAAUGAUAUAACAUGAAUUUUAUUGUGAAAUAUCUUUAUUUCUAUAAAAAAUUAGCCGAAUAAACAGAUUUGAGAUUCUUGAUACAGAAAUUUGUAAUUUAACUCAGAUUUACCAGAGUAUAGAGGGUAUCAUAUUUUAUCAGAGAUAGUUGUUAUAGACCACCAUGUACCCACCCUCUAUUUGGUGAUUAUCCAGAGUUGGACCGAUGUCUACGGACAUCCAGUCCGAUUUCAGUUUAUGUCAGUGCACUUGACUUUGCCUCACGAUUUCCGGGGACGCUCGGACCGUGAGUGCCAGAAUUUGCGGCUCGGCAGACUUGGUGUCCCGAGACCUGCCAGGAUUGCGGCUCGGCUGACUCUGUGUCCCCGAGACCUGCCAGGAUUGCAGAUCAGGCUGACUACGGUCCCCUGCAUCCUGCCUGAGCGACUCGAGCUGACUUGGUGUCAUCGAGGACCUGUCGGCGGAUCAGGCUGAUCAUAGUCCCCUGAUUUCGCCAGUUUGCGGCUCGGGUAGCCUGUGUGACGCCCGAGACCUGCCAGGGAAUUGACGGCUAUCACAUGGGUACAAUUAGGUGGCAGUUUUAAAGGAUUCUUUUUAAACCUUUUUAGUGCAGUUAUUGUUUCACUCAUUUCUAUCAGUAUGUUCGAUACUCAAACAUGUGUUAUACUGAUAUAUCUUUGUUUAGUAUGUGAACAUUUAUAUAGUUAUGUUUAUCUAUGUUUAAAUUAAAUGUCUCGAGUUUGAUUAUGAUCAAAUCAUAGCUUUUAUAUCCCUAUGUUUUUCAAACGGGGGUUAUUAUGUUCUAAAUUGUUUUCACGAACAUUAUUUUUGUCCACUCACCAUUUUAACCUUGUUUUUCGCCCCCAGGCCGUAGAAGAAGGAAGGAAACCACCCGGGCCAUCAUCUUAGCUCCCGCCCCACCACCGAAGCGUAGGAUCUCGUUGUAACUUUUCUUAGUUCUGUAAAUUUGUAUAGAAAGGCUCUGAUAUCUUGUUGAACAUGAGAAACUGGAGUUGAGAUUUGUUGGUUGUAUUAAUCUGGCGGUUGGUGUAUUAUUUGAGACUGUUUGAUAGGUGGAAGAUUUUGGGUUUGGUCAAAAUACAGGGGAGACUCUGCCGAAUUUUCAGCAGAAGUCUGAGGGAAAUUUUAAAAGAAAUUGAAAAAGGAAAGGGUAAAAAGGUCAUUUGUGCCCGACAUUCGCCAGGUGUCGGACACGCACAGGAUUCGGCUCAGAUUCCAAAGAGGAAAUUGGGUCGGGUCCUGUCAUUUUGAGUAGAAGUAUCACCAGCUGACGUGAUGAUAUCGUACUAUUCUAUAAUUUUUCCAGCUGGAGGGGGAGUAUUAACUAGAAGAAAUAUGAAUUCCUUAAUUAUAGGAUCUUAUAAAUUAGAGAUUGUAAUUUACUUUCUGUACAAGACUUACCUAGAAUGGCUUAGCUAUUAAUUGUAUAAGAAUUACAUCCUAUUGUAGAUUUUAAGAUCAAAUAACAUAGAGAUGUUGUAAAGUCAACAAUGUGGAUCCCAAAAUGGCAAGCCCCACUACCCAAUUGAUUGAAGAAUAUUAAUGAUGUUUGUCUGCCAAUUAUUCGAGCGAAGCCAAAUACCUGUGAAGUGAACAGCCAAUGUCUUUGGCUUAUAAAUAGAUACCUCCAUCAGGAGAAGAGGGCGCUUAGAGAAGAGGAAGAGAAGGAAGAAAGAACGUGAGUGAGUGGAGAGGAAAGAUAGCAGAGAGAAAUUCUCAAAGAGAGAAAAUUCAGUGAGCCACACAUAUUGUAAACACUAAAGUUGUAGCCCUAUUAUUUUAUAUAGUAGAAAAGUUACUACUGCUGCUCCGAGGACGUAGGCAUAACCGAACCUCGUUAAAUGUUGUGUCUCAUCUACUUUACGUGCAGCUCAAUAUUCACACAUAUUCCAGUUCAUUUUAUAACAAGAGAGAUAUUCUCCCUAGCAAUCUCCUUAUUUUUCUAACAGUAACAAACAACUUGGGAUUCCCCACCCCUUUUUUUCCGCCUAGCUUCAUUCAGGGCCUUUUUAAACUUUAUUUUCCUCUUCCAUACUAUUUAGAUCUUUUCCCCUUCACCCGUCUCAUGGCCCGACAAAGUGGUGACUGACUGGAUUAAAUAUACAGUGAAGAUUCCUCCCCUUGUUUCUUCUACGACAAAGUGGUGUCUAGAUUAACAGCUUCCUCUAAACUGGAAUCAACACCAAUACGAUGUCAGCUUUGCAUAUAGGGCUUCUGUACAUAUUGAUAUACGGAAUUGUUAUUUAUUUCCUGAAUAGAAAAAUGGGCUGAAAAAAUCAUAACUAUACUUAACAAUGUUGCUUUUGCUAAUUCGAAUUGAAGGGUGAUAUAAAAUCGGUCUAUUUCCGGCAUCAUACCCAUAGUUAGCGCAUUCAUCAUAGUUAGAAGCUCUAGCUCCGUAUCAAAGUCACGGUCGUCACUAUCAUCAAGUACAUAUCCCGUGUACAUCUAAGUACUGCUGUUCUUAAAUCUAGCUGCCUAGAACUCCAACAGAAACACACAAUGUCCCAUGAACGUAAUGAACCAAAACAAGAUCCAUACAAAAAGUCAUAGGCCAAAGAGUAGCUAAGCAGCUAGAUUUAAGAACUUAUAAUAGUGAAGAUUUCCACGUCUUCUCCAACAAUCGUUGGUCAUCACGACCAUACAUUAUUUCAAUUUCCGAAUAUGUCAGAAAUAAAUAGUAGCAAAUUACAUGCUGCAAGAAAGUCUGUAGCAAAGAGGACUAAACAAGUGAAAUCACACAACAAUUAACUCAGCUCCUGGAGGUAGUUUUUCUCCAAUCUGCAAGGCCCGCUUUCUUGUUGCCCUCAUUUUUUUCUGGGUUGUAACAAAUUCAGACAAUGGAGUGGAUUCUUCAACGACAACCUUUUUGAGAUCGAUGAUAAACGUCUCAAGCGCAACGGCAUUCUCAGUGAAGUACGUGGCAAGCUCAGUGUCGAUAAUAGACCCAACGAACCCAGAAAAUUUCACCACCUUAAGGCACUGAUGAGGACAUUUAUUAACCUUCUGCAUAUUCCUCUGACACGAGUCACGUACCCAUCUUAACUGCACGAGGACAUAACAAAAGCUUACGAAUCUACCUUGGAAAGUUGAUUCCACAUAAAUCAAUUACAAUUCACAGUUCUCAAACCAUUAUAUAAACUUCCCAACUAUUAAAAUUUUAAGAUAUACUGAAAAUAAAUUUACCUUCAAUGUAAAUCUAUGCAAGAAAGGUGACCGCUCUAUCAGUUUAGUCAAAGCAAGGAGGCUUAGCCGAUCAGUUGCGAUAACACUCAACGAUAAGUCCUUGAGACAAGUAAAUUCUGGAAAUUCUGGGAGCCACACCCCUCCUCUCUGAAAGAUGAAAAGUUAAAGUCAAAAUUUGGAAUAUAUAUAUAUAUAUAUAUAUAUAUAUGUACAUAAAUAAACAUUGAAUUAUUUCAUAUACCGACCGAAUUCAGAUUCAUGUGCAUGUUGAGAGUCACCAGCUGAGGAAUGCAACUUUUAACCGAAAGAAAAGGUUCAAUUAUAGACCUAGUACUUUCUGCAAGAGAUACAUUAACAAGCAAGGGUGCAUGCCUCAAUCGAAUACUGUCACAAUAACCCAACAUUCCCUUAUAAAUAAAUGACACGAGAUUAGGAGCCCAAAUCUCAACUAAUCCUAAAGACGUACACUCACUUAUUUGUAGGAACUUCAACCGGAGUGAUGAACCAGCAACUUUCAAUUUUACUAAUUGAUCUGAGCAAGAAAUGCAGAGAUGCUCAAGGAGUUCACAGUAGGAUAGAAAGUGCUCAACAAGUUCGCCGGUUAUAUUUACAAAGGACAAAGAGAGGUGUUUAAGGGACUUGAUGCAGGAAAUACCAAAAGGGCUUCUAAAUGGCUUAUCUGGAAAGAUAUAACUGGGAGAAGAAAAACGAGACCGUCUGCCUGCUUCCAAAUCUAUCUCAAGGCCUUGAACUCUCCUCCACAUUGCAAAUUCAAUCCAAUUGUCGAUUUCAGAACUACUAGGACUGCAAUUGAGUGAGGAAGAACGAAUUUUGAAUUCAUCUAAGGAUGGACCAUGGUGCAAUUGCAAGACUUGAUUCACCCAAUUGUAACUAGAUGUUGUUUUCACUCGUUGCCUUCUUUUCUUCUGUGGUUUGGAUAAUGCAUCUAUAUCAUCGAAGUUGAGACAUGUAAUCUGUUUCCACACAUAGAUCCACCUCUUAGAGAGGACACAAGUUCUUGCUGCAUCCCUAAUACCCAAUAGGGAAAGAAUGCUGAUUAGAAUGACAUCCGGUAGCUGACUGAUCUGAUCCUCCUCCGAAUAAUUCUCUUCCUUAUCAACCAAAUUGAUUGGAAUCUUUUGUCGUUUCCCAUAUGUCCAUCCAGAAUGCUUAGCCUUUCUUUUCGGCAUGGAAGUUGGAACACCCUUGUUAUUAAUUUACUUUCUUCUUAAAUAUUACAAUGUAAUGAAAUAAGCUGCAGAAGUGGAGCAAACCGAUUAUUACUAAAACCAACUAUCAAACAGAUGAAAAGAAGCGAUCAUCUAUAAUAAACGAAGAAGGCGAAAAAGUUGGGUUCGUGAAUACAAGUAAUCUAAGCAACCUUAAAAACAAAGAAAAGAAGACAAGACUGCAGAUGAAAAGCUGGUGCUGGUGUUUUUCAUUCACAACAACGUUUAUAAAAUCACACUUGUAUUUGAUUCUGCGUAAAUAAAAAAGCAGGGAGGGAGCCAAUAGCUGAUUUAAAAGCCCCUGCUUUUCAUUCAAAAUUUUGCAAUCUAGAAUUACUAAAGCAGCUACCCUAUUAUUUAUAGGCAGCAAACCGACUAAAAUCCACCAAAUCCAAAUCCAAGUCCAACUGGGAAACUACAUUUCUAUUUCCCUCUUUUUGAAGGAGAAGCGGAACCUUUUCUACUUAUUUGGUACAACUACAACAUCUAAAGAAAAUUUUGGAUGUAAGCCAUGAAACAUAAUUGCGCCUUUGAAAGAGUAAAUCUGACACUGAUAGGUAUUUUGAUUUCAAAUACAAAAAAGCUGGCGAAUUUGAUUGAAAAUCGUCAUGUAACUCAAAAUUCCAAACUUACAACAGGAAAUGAAGUUACGCAAAUCGAAAGGGAAAAACUUACUUAUUUGAGGGGUGGACAGCCGCGGCAUAUCUGCAACGCCAACCUCUAGCCGCGAAGGGAAAUGGGAAAUGGGAAAUGGGGAAAUGGGAAAGACAUCAACGGCUCCGAAGACCAACUUAUGUGGCUGUUUGGAGGGAUAAAAGGGGAAUUUCAAACGUGUUGGGUCUAAAAUUAAAUAGACCCAACUCUUACACACGAGAUCGGUCCGGUCCGUUUAUGAAACACAAAAAGUAGAGGCCCGCCCAAGAAGUAAAAAAAGAAACAAAGGCCUAGUGGGUCAGCCAGAAACACAUGAAUACUAAAAAAAGAAAGUUAAAAAAAGGCCUAUCACAAUGAAAGACUAUGUCAGCCACACUCAUAACCUAACCUAACCUAAUCAUGAUGUUUGGGUAUAUAGAUACCAGUCAUUCUCAUUUGUCAGCCAAACUCAAUCUAUCUCAAACUCGAAAUCCAAGUAGAGAAACAAACAGAUCUCUCAACUUUCAGCUCCUCGAUCGACCAUGCCGUCGCCCUCUGUGACAAGAUCUCAUGUUCUCUGUAGCCCUCUGUGAAUUACGGAAGGCUCUGGAGACCAUGAGAUCUGAUCACAGGCAUCAGGGAAGAAGACUGGUUAUGAGGUCCAGUCACCCCAGAAGAAGACUUGCGAUAAAUCCAAAGAGCAGAAGAACCAUGGCCUGUGAACGGCUUGAGAAGCCAGCCAGCACCACCUUUGGUGACGGGGGUCAUGAAACGCAGUGUCUUGUCUUGAUAGCUUAGAUUCAAGGGCCAAGGAUGAGUUAGGUGGUGAUGAUCGGCAUCAUCAAGGGGUGCAAUCAUCCAUUCUUUUUUUUCGAUUUUUUCUAGAAUAAUACAUUUUUGUUUUGUCUUUAAUUUUUUGUAUUUUUUUUUUUUUUUGCUGGUAUUUUUGGCAAAUACUUAAAGUAUAUAAUAUUUAUUUAUUUUCAGUGAGCUUGGGCUAGAGCGUUUCCAUUUUUUGUUCCAUUUUGGGCCUUUUGUUUUCUGUUUAAUCUGGGCUGAUUCUGGUCAGAUUGUCUUCAUGGACCUGUAAUGGGUUUUUUCUUUCUCUUUUCCGGACCAAGAGUUUUAUAAAUUUCUGAAAAACAAUAAACGUUUUCUCCCUCCGUUUUAUGUCCCUAUUGUAUCAUUUUGUAUUAAUUUUUAUUAUUCAAAACAUCAACACACAAGAAUAUACAAAAAUCAUUUUGUAAUGUUUUUGUUUUCUCAUAAUGUAUAUGUAAUUUAACAACGACCGUAUCAUUUUCUUAAUGAUCAUAUUAACAUACCAAGUUGAUAACUAACUAAUCCAGUCUGUUAAUGAACGCGCGCGAUAAUAUUAGCUCCGCAGCUUUGAGAAACCCUAACCACACUUUCUUCGGAGAAACCUAACCAGCUCUGGUCUCGCACUUCUUUGGAGAAACCCUGACCACACUUUCUUUGGAGAAACCUAACCUGCUCUGGUCUCACACCUCUUUGGGGAAACCCUAACCUCCUCUAGUCUCACACUCUCUUUGGAGAAGCUGGAGCUUCUUUCUCCAGGUACCUUCCUAUUUGAUCAAUUUUUACAUCUGAUUCUGAACAUUUCAACUUGCCUUAUAGCUAAUGUAUCAUGUUGUGAAGUAUUUAUUUAGCUAGUAUAUUUAUUGAUUUUCAGAUUUGGGCUCCUAAACCCUAGUUCCCUUUUUCUUCUUUUGGGCAGCACAAUUUUACUUAUGCGGAGGUUAAUGUUUUCUGUAACAUGCUUUAUUAUUGUUGUGGCCUUUAACCAACUUUGGAGCAUUAAGUGGGCCUUGCUGCAAGCCUUUAAGAAUUUGGCAAUGACCAUUAUUUUUACAGAUUUAAGUGAGUUUGGAUUGUCACCGGUUGAUCAAUUAUGCUGACAAGGGGUGAAUUCCAUCAUUAGCCCAUUUUUGUUUGCUAUCCUAUUUGUCCUGAAACUAUUUUGAUCAACCAUGAAUUUGGCAAUGACCAUUAUUUUUACAGAUUUAAGCGAGUUUGGAUUGUCCCUGGUUGAUCGAUUAUGCUCACAACAAGGGGUGAAUUCCAUUGUUAGCCCACUUUUGUUUGCUAUGCUAUGUGUCUGUGAAGAAACUAUUUUGAUCAACUUUGAGAUUUGUUGAAAAUUUUGUAUUUCUUGUAGUGCAGUUUGCCACAUUUAUAGUCAAUCAUGCUCUCUCUCUCUCUCUCUCUCUCUCUCUCUCUCUCUCUCUCUCUCACUCUCACACAUACACACAGACCAAAUUUGAUUCACUUGCCAAAUCUUAUAACGUUGGGAGAUUUGGAAUUUGGUUUUUAGCAUCAUCCUUCCACCAAUUCAAUGCUCUAUGAGAAGUCAUGUUAAAUGAGCCUUGGAGAAAGCCUUCAUGAACUUAAGUUUAUAGGUUUUUUUGGCUAUUCAUUUUAAUAGAUUACUUCAUUUGUAUUUUUGAAUUGUUCAAGUUUUCUCUAACCAUUCUUGUUUCAUGGUUGCUGAUGUUGUUGAACACUUCAUUCUCAAAAUUGAUAAGUAUAUAGAUUAACACAACAUAUGCUUACAUUCAAUUCCAAGAAAGGACUUUGGUUGAUGUAUUUUUUCUUGGUGAAGAAUAAAGUAGAUACUGUGGAACUUGCUUGGACUCUUGGAUAGAAAUUUACAGCACCUAGUAUCAGCUGACUUGUUAUCAUGUUGCAUCCUGUCCUCGAUAUAAACACAUUUGUAUGUGCUAUGCAGUUGGCUAACUGGUCUCGCACCUCUUUGGAGAAACCCUGACCACACUUUCUUUGGAGAAACCUAACCUGCUUUGGUCUCACACCUCUUUGGGGAAACCCUAACCUCCUCAGGUCUCACACUCUCAUUGGAGAAACUGGAGCUUCUUUCUCUAGGUACUUUCCUAUUUGAUAAAUUUUUACAUUUGAUUCUAAACAUUUCAACUUGCCUUCUAGCUAAUGUUUCAAGUUGUGAAGUAUUUAUUUAGCUAGUAUAUUUAUUGAUUUUCAGAUUUGGGCUCCUAAAUCCUAGUUCCCUUCUUCUUUUGGUUGUUUCUUUCUUUUGGUUCAAUUUUUUGCAUUUCUGAGUUUUUUUUUUUCUCACUAGUCUCACAAAAUGCCCGGAUUUAAAUAAAGUAUGUUCUUUUACUUUCUCUGUCAUUGCAUUUUGAGCAAAGCAUACAUAUUUGGGAGUAUUUUUGUGUGAAUUUGUUGGUAUUUUUGCUGACCUCCCUACCUGUGUUCCUUGUGUAAACGUUUUCUUUGGUAACUGUUAGUUGUUAAAAUAUUUAUUUAGCUAGUUGAUUUAUUGGUUUACAUUGCUCAUUUGUCUUUCUCCACUUUUUUCUAUCACAAUUUUAUACGGUUUAUUUAGCUAGUCAGUUUAUAAUAUUGCUCAUGUAUUAUGACUUAUCUCAUUUAUAAUUAGUUAUUUGAUUUAGUUUUGUGGUUUUUUUCAUGUGGUUUUGUAUUUAUUUAGCUAAUGUAGUUACCUUCUUCUUCUUUUGGAUGUUUCUUUCUUUUGGUUUAAGCUCUAGUUCAAUUUUUUGCUUUUCUGAUAUUUUUUUUCUCACUAGUCUCACAAAAAUGCACGGAUUUAAAUAUACUUUUCGUUUUCUUUGGUAACUGUUACUUGAUAAAGUAUUUAUUUAGCUAAUUGAUUUAUUGGUUUACAUUGCUCAUUUGUCUUUCUCCACUUUUUUCUAUCACAAUUUUAUAUGGUUUAUUUAGUUAGUCAGUUUAUAAUAUUGAUCAUGUAGUGUGACUUAUCUCAUUUAUAAUUAGCUAUUUGAUUUAGUUUUGUGGUUUUUUUCAUGUGGUUUUUUAUUUAUUUAGCUAAUGUUUAGCUGACACUAGUUCAAUUUUUUGCAUUUCUGAGUUUUUUUUUCUCACUAGUCUCGCAAAAUGCACGGAUUUAAAUAGACUAUAUUCUUUUACUUUCUCUGUCAUUACUUUCGAGCAAAGCAUACAUAUCUGGGAGUAUAUUUUGUGUGAAUUUGUUGGUAUUUAUUGCUGGCCUCCCUACUUGUGUUGCUUGCGUAAACGUUUUCUUCGAUAACUGUUACUUGUUAAAGUAUUUAUUUAGCUAGUUGAUUUAUUGGUUUACAUUGCUCAUUUGUCUUUUUCCACUUUUUUCUAUCACAAAUUUAUACGGUUUAUUUAGCUAGUCAGUUUAUAUUGCUCAUGUAUUAUGACUUAUCUUAUUUAUAAUUAGCUAUUUGAUUUAGUUUUGUGGUUUUGUAUUUAUUUAGCUAAUGUUUCACUGACCGCACUUCCCUUCUGCUCCUUUUGGUUGUUUCUUUCUUUUGGUUUAAGCUCUAGUUCAAUUUUUUGCAUUUCUGAGUUUUUUUUCUCACUAGUCUCACAAAAUGCACGGAUUAAAAUAAACUAUGUUCUUUUACUUUCUCUGUCAUUACUUUUGAGCAAGGGAUACAUAUUUGGGAGUAUUUUUGUGUGAAUUUGUUGGUAUUUAUUGCUGGCCUGGCCUCCCUACUUGUGUGGCUUGCGUAAACGUUUUCUUUGAUAACUGUUACUUGUUAAAGUGUUUACUUAGCUAGUUGAUUUAUUGGUUUACAUUGCUCAUUUGUCUUUCUCCGCUUUUUUCUAUCACAAUUUUAUACAGGUUAUUUAGCUAGUCAGUUUAUAAUAUUGCUCAUGUAUUAUGACUCAUCUCAUUUAUAAUUAGCUAUUUGAUUUAGUUUUGUGGUUUUUUUCGUGUGGUUUUGUAUUUAUUUAGCUAAUGUUUCACUGACACUAGUUCAAUUUUUUGCAUUUCUGGUUUUUUUUUCUCACUAGUCUCACAAAAUGCACGGAUUUAAUAUAAACUAUGUUCUUUUACUUUCUCUGUCAUUACUUUCAAGCAAAGCAUACAUAUCUGGGAGUAGUGUGAAAUUUGUUGGUAUUUAUUGCUGGCCUCCCUACUUGUGUUGCUUGCCUAAACGUUUUCUUUGAUAACUGUUACUUGUUAAAGUAUUUAUUUAGCUAGUUGAUAUAUUGGUUUACAUUGCUCAUUUGUCUUUCUCCACUUUUUUCUAUCACAAAUUUAUACGGUUUAUUUAGCUAGUCUGUUUAUAUUGCUCAUGUAUUAUGACUUAUCUCAUUUAUAAUUAGCUAUUUGAUUUAGUUUAGUGGUUUUGUAUUUAUUUAGCUAAUGUUUCACUGGCCGUAGUUCCCUCCUCCUCCUUUUGGUUGUUCCUUUCUUUUGGUUUAAGCUCUAGUUCAAUUUUUUGCAUUUCUGAGUUUUUUUUCUCACUAGUCUCACAAAAUGCACGGAUUUAAAUAAACUAUGUUCUUUUACUUUCUCUGUGAUUACUUUCGAGCAAAGCAUACAUAUUUGGGAGUAUAUUUUGUGUGAAUUUGUUGAUAUUUAUUGCUGGCCUCCCUACUUGUGUUGCUUGCGUAAACGUUUUCUUUGAUAACUGUUACUUGUUAAAGUAUUUAUUUAGCUAGUUGAUUUAUUGGUUUACAUUGCUCAUUUGUCUUUCUCCACUUUUUUCUAUCCCAAUUUUUUAUGGUUUAUUUAGCUAGUCAGUUUAUAAUAUUAAUCAUGUAGUGUGACUUAUCUCAUUUAUAAUUAGCUAUUUGCUUUAGUUUUGUUAUUUUUUUCGUGUGGUUUUGUAUUUAUUUAGCUAAUGUUUCGCUGAUAGUAGUUCCCUUCUUCUUUUGGUUGUUUCUUUCUUUUGGUUUGAGCUCUAGUUCAAUUUUUUGCUUUUCUGAGUUUUUUUUCUCACUGGUCUCACAAAAUGCACGGAUUUAAAUAAACUAAGUUCUUUUACUUUCUCUGUCAUUACUUUUGAGCAAGGGAUACAUAUUUGGGAGUAUUUUUGUGUGAAUCUGUUGGUAUUUAUUGCUAUCCUCCCUACUUGUGUUGCUUGCGUAAAUGUUUUCUUUGAUAACUGUUACUUGUUAAAGUGUUGACUUAGCUAGUUGAUUUAUUGGUUUACAUUGCUCAUUUGUCUUUCUCCGCUUUUUUCUAUCACAAUUUUAUACGGUUUAUUUAGCUAGUCAGUUUAUAAUAUUGCUUAUGUAUUAUGACUUAUCUCAUUUAUAAUUAGCUAUUUGAUUUAGUUUUGUGGUUUUUUUUCAUGUGGUUUUGUAUUUAUUUAGCUAAUGUUUCACUGACAGUUCUUUUGGUUUAAGCUCUAGUUCAAUUUUUUGCAUUUCUGAGUUUUUUUUUCUCACAAGUCUCACAAAAUGCACGGAUUUAAAUAAAGUAUGUUCUUUUACUUUCUCUAUGUUCUUUUACUUUCUCUAUGUUCUUUUACUGUCUCUGUCAUUACUUUUGAGCAAAGCAUACAUAUCUGGGAGUAUAUUUUGUGUGAAUUUGUUGGUAUUUAUUGCUGGCCUCCCUACUUGUGUUGCUUGCGUAAACGUUUUCUUUGAUAACUGUUACUUGUUAAAGUAUUUAUUUAGCUAGUUGAUUUAUUGGUUUACAUUGCUCGUUUGUGUUCCUCCACUUUUUUCUAUCACAUUUUUAUACGGUUUGUUUUGCUAGUCAGUUUAUAUUGCUCAUGUAUUAUGACUUAUCUCAUUUAUAAUUAGCUAUUUGAUUUAGUUUUGUGGUUUUUUUCAUGUGGUUUUGUAUUUAUUUAGCUAAUGUUUCACUUACAGUUCCCUUCUUCUUCUUUUGGUUUAAGCUCUAGCUCAAUAUUUUGCAUUUCUGAGUUUUUUUUCUCACUAGUCUCACAACGUGCACGGAUUUAAAUUAACUAUGUUCUUUUACUUUCUCUGUCAUUACUUUGGAGCAAAGCAUAUAUAUUUGGGAGUAUUUUUGUGUGAAUUUAUUGGUAUUUAUUGCUGGCCUCCCUACCUUUGUUCCUUGUGUAAACAUUUUCUUUGAUACUGUUACUUGUUAAAGUAUUUAUUUAGCUAGUUGAUUUAUUGGUUUACACUGCUCAUUUGUCUUUCUCCAGGUUUUUCUAUAACAAUUUUAUAUGGUUUAUUUGGUGAGUCAGUAUAUAUUGCUCAUGUAUUAUGAAUUAUCUCAUUUAUAAUUAACUAUUUGAUUUAGUUUUGUGUUUUUUCUGAUGUGGUUUUGUACAGGAGAAUGACUACCCAAAUUUCACAUAUCAACUUCGACAAUUGCAAUUUCAAGUCAAAAAGUGUCAUCCAAAAACCCUUAUUGGAUUCAUUCAAGGAGAAUAUUGAGGAUUUUGUGGAGGACUGUGAUGUUGUCCAAGAAGGGUGUGUAUGGAAAUGGGAGUUCGUUCACAAGGAAGGAUGUAUUAAGAGGACAGUUCCACUCUUCAUUCUCAAAGAGGUAGUGGAUGAUUCAAGACAUAAAUCCGGAGAAGAUCCGUUUUGCAUCUACUGCAGCUACUCAGGAUGCAACAACAAUGUCGUCUCGAGGAGCAAGUAUCACUUCGUAAUUCCAGCGGAUUACGAGUCUUUGGAGCAGCAAUUGGACGAUCCUUUUGACAAGGAUGAUCACGUUUUUAAAGAUCGGACACACCUCUUACAUGGGUUGCUCCACAUCAACGGGAUCGGCCACCUCAUAUGUAUCAAUGGGAUUGAUGGGGGUUCUGCUUUCAUCCCUGGUCGAGACAUCAUGCAUCUAUGGGAUUUACUUUGCCUUUAUUUUCGUGCGAGGUAAUUCUCGUUUUUAUAUUAGUUGUUUCAUAUUUUUGUUACAUAUAAAACAUAUGAAUUGAAUCUGAUUUUGUGAUUUAUAGGAAAAUAACUGUCCGCGAUGAAGCAUGUAAAACAUUUAGGCAUAUCUCAUUGAUAGACGGUGUCCGUGAGACGUGUGAGGGGGCCAUGGUGACUAGGUUGCUGUUCAGUGUGGCUUUUGGUAGUACUUGGUUUGGGAGGUGGGGAUACACGUUUCUACGUGGAAGCUAUGGAGUAUCGAGAGAUACCUACACGACUGCUAUUGAGUCCCUUGGGUCUCAUCCAUUGACUGAGGUUGAAGAAAUUGUAGAAAAAUACAAGAAGAAGUCCCUUACUCCCCUAGAGUGCAUGAAAGAUUUAUUAUCUUUCAUGCUGCAGAUGAGGUGUGGCACGAGAGGCCAAAAGAAAAUGGAUCUAAAUAAAGAUUUGUGGACGGUGUAUGAUAAGGUUUUAAUGAGGAGGAAAAAUCACGUCCAAACCAUCUUGAAUUGCAAAGUCUUUUGCAAGGAAAUCCCGUUGAGGCAAAUGUCAGCUGAAUGUUUAACAGUUACCUUUGUGGUGAGAGAUGCAGAUGACAAUGAGUUGCCGGGAAUGGUUGGCUGCGAGUGUACCACACUCCCCGUAAAUGAUGUGGCUGAUUUAAAGGGUCGAGUUACUCGUUUAAUUCAAGGUACAUAUCAUGCACUCUCCAAUUUCACCAUCACCGAAAUGGAAGGAGAGGGAACGGAUGAAUUGAAAGAGAAUAUGUGGGUGAAGGGUGAUGGGGCAGACAUGGAUUGCAACUAUGUAGCUGAAGGUGGACGGGGAUGGCUAGUGACUUGUAUCUGUGGAGCAGAGGAUGAUGAUGGAGAGGAUAUGGUUGAGUGUGAUACCUGCAAGAAAUGGAAGCACAUCGAGUGCCUCAUUAAUGAUGGUUUUAAACUUGAAGAUAAUGCUGGUUUUAUUUGUUUGGAAUGUUCGACCCCAAGGCAUUGAGGAGAAAAUUGGUAAGAGGUUUCUGAAAUUUCAUUUCACACUUUAUCUGUCUCACAAUGUUUGGUUGUUUGUUUUGAAAGAAAAGGUGCUUUUAUGCAUUUGAUGAUGCCUACAAGAAAUUAAGAUUUGUGAUAUUGCUUUAGCAUCUUCUAAUUGUUUUAUGCUUUAGUCUGGGGGCAUUUGGUUGGGCAGCACAGUUUUACUUAUACGGAGGUUAAUGUUUUCUGUAACAUGCUUUAUUAUUGUUGUGGCCUUUAACCAACUUUGUAGCAUUAAGUGAGCCUUGCUGCAAGCCUUUAAGAAUUUGGCAAUGACCGUUAUUUUUACAGAUUUAAGUGAGUUUGGAUUGUCACUGGUUGAUCAAUUAUGCUGACAAGGGGUGAAUUCCAUUAUUAGCCCAUUUUUGUUUGCUAUCCUAUUUGUCCUGAAACUAUUUUGAUCAACAUGAAUUUGGCAAUGACCAUUAUUUUUACAGAUUUAAGUGAGUUUGGAUUGUCCCUGGUUAAUCGAUUAUGCUGACAACAGGGGGUGAAUUCCAUUAUUAGCCCAUUUUUGUUUGCUAUCCUAUUUGGCGUGAAGAAACUAUUGAUCAACUUUGAGAUUUGUUGAAAAUUUUGUAUUUCUUGUAGUGCAGUUUGCUACAUUUAUAGUCAAUCAUGCUCUCUCUCUCUCUCUCUCUCUCUCUCUCUCUCUCUCUCUCUCUCUCUCUCACACAUACACACAGACCAAAUUUGAUUCACUUGCCAAAUCUUAUAAUGUUAGGAGAUUUGGAAUUUGGUUUUUACAUCAUCCUUCCACCAAUUCAAUGCUUCAUGAGAAGUCAUGCUAAAUGAAUCUUGGAGAAAGCUUUCAUGAACUUAAGUUUAUAGGUUUUUUUGGCUGUUCAUUUUAAUAUAUGACUUCAUUUGUUUUUUUGAAUUGUUCAAGUUUUCUCUAAUCAUUCUUGUUUCAUGGUUACUGAUGUUGAACACUUCAUUCUCAAAAUUGAUGAGUAUAUAGAUUAACACGACAUAAACUUACAUUCAAUUCCAACAAAGGACUUUGGUUGAUGUAUGUUUUCUUGGUGAAGAAUAAAGUAGAUACAGUGGAACUUGCUUGGACUCUUGGGUAGAAAUUUGCAACACCUAGUAUCAGCUGACUUGUUAUCAUGUUGCAUCCUGUUCCUUGAUCAAAACACGUUGUAUGUGCUAUGCAGCUGGCUAACUGGAUGUAGCAUCGCAUUCCUUAUUGUUUUCGUUGCAAGUUACUAAAUUGUCACAUAUCCUCUUUGUUGCCUUGCAGAUGUGUGUGUGGCAUGCAUAAGUACUUGUAAAUUGUUUCCUUGCAGCAUAAAUAUGCUAGGCUGCUUAUUUGUCGUAACAUGAUUUGAUUUAAUUAAUGGCAGGAACGGCAUGGUGGAGUCGCUGAGUGUGCAGGGAUUCUUGUUUGGAGACUCUCAUUGCAUAAUUGACUAAACUUAGUUCUGUACUUUUAAUUAGAAGAUUGGUCCAUACUGUACGCUUGAAUAUGUUGGAUUAGCGAGCCAGGAUGCAUCUUGUAGUUGUCUAGUUUGUUGUUUGUUUUUACGUUACCUUGUCGCAUGAGGCAUCAAUGGCUCAUUUGUUGCAAGCUACAUUUAUAAUUGUAUUAGCACUACCCCUUAGUCACAAGUUGUUAAACCUUCGUAUUUUGGCUCUUGAUCUGGUCUACGCAUGAAUGCAAAGUAUGCAGCCAUUAGUUGGUUGACGAUCAAAAGCAUAUGGUGCAGCCAAUGAAUUCUGGAAAGAUCGAUCUCUGUAGAGAGUGAAUGUUUUGUUAUUUUUCUUCUUUUCAUUUUGUUAAUGGAAAUUUCUGUAGAGCCAGAGCAAUUUGUUAAGAACAAUAGACUAUAUUCAACUUGUUAAGAACAAUUGACAGAGGAGGCAAAGAAACUCAAGGAUGCAAUGACGCAUGAAAACCGUUGGACAUUAACAACGAGCCAUUGCGCAUCACAGACCGCUGGACAGAUUGUCUCAUUUAUGAAAUAAUGUCACACUUUGUUGUCGACAUUACAGUAUUUGAAUAUGCAAGUUCCUUUCAAGAUUUAGGGAACAUAAUUCAAUAAAAACAAAACAAAAAACAAAAAUGGUACACAAUACAAGCAAGCCCCAAGAGUUGGGUCCUGGUCUCGUUCCGUUUGUCUUUCCUAUAGCACAACAGUUAGGCUGAUGUAGUAGAUUGUGGAGAUUGAGAGAGAAGGCUGCAAGCUGAAUAUUGCCGAACUUGCCUUCCUCCGUUGCUAGCCUAGAAAAGAAAAUAAAAGGGAAAUUCAAGUAACAGUCUCCGCCAUACACUGCAACAAGACAACGGAAGCACAAACAAGGUGCACUGGUUUGGAUAAGUGAUGAAUAUGUAGUUUCUGCCUUGAGGGAUUUAGGGGUCUGAUCAAGCUGUCAACUUGCUUUGCGAGAUCAUAUCUCGAUAUCUGGGCCACUUCUCGUCUCUCUGGAAACCAGGAAGAACAGAUCUAAAUUGAGGAGCACUAGUGCAUUCCAAACAGCAGCAUCCUCUUAAAUCUUAACCUCAUUAUCAUUACAAGGCAUAAUUAGGAAAAAGUAAUGCAUAUACCUUCAUGGCUACGUUUGACAACUAUCAUUGUAGCUAAGGAGACUUGGGUUUUGCUACCAGUUAUAGUCAAUCAUGUUCACCUCUCUCUCUCUCUCUCUCUCUCUCUCUCAGACCAAAUUUGACUCACUUGCCAAAUCUUAUUGUAGUUAUUUAUUUUUCAUUUUGUCAUUAGCAUUAUUAAUUUUUUUGCACACAGAAUAUAUUAUUGUAUUCUAAAAUGGAAAACAAGACCAUGCGAAUCACAUGUCCUUCUUCAUUUUGUCUCCAACUCAUUCAAGAAUCUACAUAUUGGAAGAAAUCAAUCAAGUACCUAAACUGCCAUCCUUGUUCACCACACAAACAUUAUUUCAAUUUCGGAAAAUGUCAGAAAUAAAUAGUAGCAAAUUACAUGCUGCAAAAAGUGUAUCACGUCUGUAGCAAAGAGGAUUAAACAAGUGAAAUUACAAAACAAUUAACUCAGUUCCUGGAGGUAGUUUUUUACCCAUCUGCAAAGCACGCUUUCUUGCUGCCCUCAAUUGUUUCUGGGUUGUAACAAAUUCAGACAAUAGAGUGGAUUCUUCAACGACAACCUUUCUGAGAUCGACGAGAAACGUUUCAAGCGCAACGGCAUUCUCAGUGAAGUACAUGGCAAGCUCAGUGUCGAUACUAGACCCAACGAACCCAGAAAAUUUCACCACCUUAAGGCACUGAUGAGGACAUUUAUUAACCUUCUGCAAAUUCCUCAGACAUGGCACUCGUGCCCAUCUUAGCUGCACAAGGACAAAAACAAUACAACUUUUAGAAGUUUGUGUGCAUAAACAUGAAUCAACAAAAACCUUUCUGAAACCAUUAAAUAAACUUCCCAACUUUAAAUUGUAAGACAUGCUGAAAAUAAAUUUACAUCCAAUGUAAAUCUAUGCAAGAAAGGAGACCGCUCUAUCAAUUUAGUCAAAUUAAGGAGGCUUUGCCGAUCACUUGCGACAACAUUCAACGUUAAGUCCUUGAGACAAGUUAAUUCUGGAAAUUCUGGGUGCCUCACCAUUGCACUCUGACAGAUGAAAAGCAAAUUUUGAAAAUAAAGUCUAUAUAUAAUAAUAAUAAUAAUAAUAAUAAUAAUAAUAAUAAUAAUAAUAAAUAGGGAAUUAUUUCAUAUACUGACCAUAUUCAGAUUCAUGUGCAAGUUGAGAUUGAGAGUCACCAGCUGAGGAAGACAACUUUUAACCGGAGGAAAAGUUGGAACUAUAGACCUAGUACUUUCUGCAAGUGAUACAUUUACAAGCAAGGGUGCAUGCCUCAAACGAAUACUGUCAUAGAAACCCAGCAUUCCGUGAUAAAUAAAUGACACGAGAUUAGGAGCACAAAUCUCAAUUUUUUCUAAAUAUAUACAGUCACUUAUUUGUAGGAACUUCAUCCGGAGUGACAAACCGGCAACUUUCAAAGUUACUAAUUGAUCCGAGCAAGAAACGCAAAGAUGCUCAAGGAGUUCACAAUUGGAUAGAAAGUGCUCAACAAGUUCACCGGUUAUGUUUACAAAUGACAAGGAGAGGUGUUUAAGGGACUUGAUGCAGGAAACGCCGAAAGGGCUUCUAAAUGGCUUAUCUGGAAAGAUAUAACUGGCAGCUGAGGAAUACAACUUUUAACCGAAAGAAAAGGUGCAAUUAUAGACCUAGUACUUUCUGCAAACGAAUACUGUCACAAAAACCCAACAUUCCCUUAUAAAUAAAUGAUACGAGAUUAGGAGCCCAAAUCUCAACUAAUCCUAAAGACGUACACUCACUUAUUUGUAGGAAAUUCAACCGGAGUGAUGAACCAGCAACUUUCAAAUUUACUAAUUGAUCUGAGCAAGAAAUGCAGAGAUGCUCAAGGAGUUCACAGUAGGAUAGAAAGUGCUAAACAAGUUCGCCGGUUAUAUUUACAAAGGACAAAGAGAGGUGUUUAAGGGACUUGAUGCAGGAAAUACCAAAAGGGCUUCUAAAUGGCUUAUCUGGAAAGAUAUAACUGGGAGAAGAAAAACGAGACCGUCUGCCUGCUUCCAAAUCUAUCUCAAGGCCUUGAACUCUCCUCCACAUUGCAAAUUCAAU